rnacentral:rRNA from 1 species
GUGCACCAGGCGAGAAUCUUCCACAAUGGGGAAACCCUGAUGGAGCGACGCCGCGUGCGGGAUGAAGGCCCUAUGGGUUGUAAACCGCUGUUCAGUGGAAAGAACAUCCUCCGGCUGAAUAGGUCGGAGGCCUGACGUUACCACUGCAGAAAGUCCCGGCCAACUCCGUGCCAGCAGCCGCGGUAAUACGGGGGGACGAGCGUUGUCCCGGAA